UAGGGAAUCUUCCGCAAUGGACGAAAGUCUGACGGAGCAAUGCCGCGUGAGUGAAGAAGGAUUUCGGUUCGUAAAACUCUGUUGUUAGGGAAGAAAAAAUGUAUAGUAACUAUAUACAAAAGAGACGGUACCUAACCAGAAAGCCACGGCUAACUACGUGCCAGCAGCCGCGGUAAUACGUAGGUGGCAAGCGUUGUCCGGAAUUAUUGGGCGUAAAGCGCGCGCAGGUGGUUUAGAAAGUCUGAUGUGAAAGCCCACGGCUCAACCGUGGAGGGUCAUUGGAAACUAAUAAACUUGAGUGCAGGAGAGAAAAGUGGAAUUCCUAGUGUAGCGGUGAAAUGCGUAGAGAUUAGGAGGAACACCGGUGGCGAAAGCGGCUUUUUGGCCUGCAACUGACACUGAGGCGCGAAAGCGUGGGGAGCAAACAGG
rnacentral:rRNA from 1 species